rnacentral:lncRNA from 1 species
AUUUGCACAUGUGUAGUCAGUUAAAUGGUUAUGUGUACAUAAACAUGCAUGCGUGUGUUUCAACUUUCCAGUGAGUUCAGUAAGGUUCCAAUUAGUAAGUUCAGUUUAGACAUGUGUAUGUUGCUAAUUGUUCAGAGAUAAUGAAUUGGCAGGAAGGGCACAUCAAUAUCUCUGCUAUGAUUAAAUCAGUGACAUUAACUCAAAUUGUAAAGGCAGGUAAUGUUUGGUUUCUUAAGAUACUUUUUUCCUGGUGUAUUAUUCAAUGCCUACUGCUGUCUUUGACCAAGUUAUAACAAAGACCAAGAUUCACAGCACUUCUUCAGAAAGAAGGAUACAAUUUUUUGUUACUUGGAGAUCUGAGCAUCAGCUGGCUCACUUGUUUAAAUUAUCCCAAGAUGAAGACUGCAACCUGCCAUAAAAUACAUCUUCACUGAUUUUAAGGAAACUGAGAGUGGGCCACUCAAUAAGGAAAUCUCUCAAAAAAAUAUACUAAAACAUUUGACUUAAUAUAAUCAGAAGAUAAAUAGCCCUCAAAAGUAUUUUUUUUUUCCACAAUACACAUACACCAGGGAAAGUAAAGACAUAUGUAUUUAAGAGGAAGGGAUCCUGACAAUGCACGGAUAAUCAAGGAAGAGAUUAUUUUGAGAAAACAGCAUGUAACACAAUUAAAAGCCCUUGAGAAACAAGACAUCAGGUCUCUGCUUGCCAUUUGUGAAUGAGGAAGACAUGCUGCAGUCCUAAUGAGUCUGAUCCAGACAAGAGAUUAAAUAACUUGCUUUCUUACCUCAGGCUGGGAAAACUGUAAAGGCCAGAACAUGUUUAUGACAUAUUGGAUUUGUGUUGUCAUAAACAGAUGGUAACCUGCGGCACUAGGAAAAAAGGUCAAGUGCAAACCAAGCUGCUGCCUCAUCCAAAGCAAAGGCAACGCAGAGGGGCAAAUUUUGCCCACAAAGGAUUUAGUGAGAGCGGCUGCUGUAUCUCAGGGGUGGGGAAGAGAUCCCAGCUUACCUGCCUCCACCUUUCUGUCUUGCAAGACAACACCAGUAUUUUCAUUUUUCUCUUUUUGUGGCACUGUUCCAUGCUUGUUAUUAUAUUUCUCCUCAGAGCUUACUGCGAUUGAAAUUCCUACUCAGUGUAUUUUCUGCCAAAUUCUAACAUGUUUACUUAAAGAAAAACAUUUAAAUUGCUUCCAUGGGUAAGUAUCCUCCCACUCUUAGCACAACAAUUUUAAUGAUUUACUUUUCUACUAACAUCCUUUUCCCCUUUAUUACUCAGGUAAAUGUCAAGCAGCAGUCCUGGCCUGCAUACAGCAGAUAACGCAUGUUGACUCUGCUUGUAAUGAACUAAUGAUGUAUCUUUGGUGAAAAACCAUUUUCUGAAUAUUCAUUUCCUCAGAAGGAUUGGAUUUUUUCUGCUGAUUUCAGUAAUCUUUGUUUUCAUCCACCAACCACAGUUAUAAUCUACUAAGUGUGACAUCCUGAAGCAAGGGUUUGACCAACUCUAACAGAGUUUGGCAGCACUCAAUUGACUGAAAGAAACUUUGGGAGAUAACACAAUAUGAAAUAACAUUUGAGAUGUUAGUAAGUUAGGACCAUAACACGGCUGUUUCCAGUGGAUAAAAAAUGGCACAUAUAUGUAACUAUAGAAAGAAAUGAGGCUUAGGAAGGAGGGAGAGCUUAACAAGUGAUAAUUAACUUAGUCAACAAUAUAGCAAAUAGAACUGUAAUUUAGUAACAGAUCUGAAGUGGAGAA